rnacentral:rRNA from 1 species
CCUACGGGAGGCAGCAGUGAGGAAUAUUGGUCAAUGGCCGGGAGGCUGAACCAGCCAAGUCGCGUGAGGGAAGACGGCCCUACGGGUUGUAAACCUCUUUUGUCAGGGAGCAAGGUGCAGGUCGGGACCUGCUGUGAGAGUACCUGAAGAAAAAGCAUCGGCUAACUCCGUGCCAGCAGCCGCGGUAAUACGGAGGAUGCGAGCGUUAUCCGGAUUUAUUGGGUUUAAAGGGUGCGCAGGCGGAGACACAAGUCAGCGGUAAAAUCGCGGGGCUCAACCCCGCACGGCCGUUGAAACUGUGGCCCUUGAGUGCGCGAAGGGUAGGCGGAAUGCGUGGUGUAGCGGUGAAAUGCAUAGAUAUCACGCAGAACUCCGAUCGCGAAGGCAGCCUACCGGCGCGCAACUGACGCUCAUGCACGAAAGCGUGGGUAUCGAACAGGAUUAGAUACCCCAGUAGUC